rnacentral:snRNA from 1 species
GGAUGUGAGGGUGAUCUGGCUGCGACAUCUGUCACCCCACUGAUCGCCAAGGUUGACUCGGCUGAUCUGGCUGGCUAGGCGCGAGUCCCCUUCCUCCCUCACUGUUCCGUAUGCGUCCCUCCCAAAGCUGCACACUGGGUUGAAGAGGACGGCCUUCCCUGAAUAGAGAUGGACCUGUCUUUCAGUCAAGGGUAUACGAGAAUCUGCGCUCCCCUGCUAGAACCUCCCAAUAAGCUCUCAAAGUUACAGACCCUAGAUACAGGCUAGGGCCUAGGGGGCUGGGUACAUGCAUACACAUACCCAUAAAUUAGGGGCAACUGUAUGCCUCAAAGU